rnacentral:rRNA from 1 species
AACGAACGCUGGCGGCAGGCCUAACACAUGCAAGUCGAACGCACCGCAAGGUGAGUGGCGCACGGGUGAGUAACACGUGGGAAUGUACCCUUUGGUUCGGAAUAACGUUUGGAAACGAACGCUAAUACCGGAUGAGCCCUGUGGGGGAAAGAUUUAUCGCCAAAGGAGCAGCCCCGCGUCUGAUUAGCUAGUUGGUGGGGUAAAGGCCUACCAAGGCGACGAUCAGUAGCUGGUCUGAGAGGAUGAUCAGCCACACUGGGACUGAGACACGGCCCAGACUCCUACGGGAGGCAGCAGUGGGGAAUAUUGGACAAUGGGCGAAAGCCUGAUCCAGCAAUGCCGCGUGAGUGAUGAAGGCCUUAGGGUUGUAAAGCUCUUUUACCCGAGAUGAUAAUGACAGUAUCGGGAGAAUAAGCUCCGGCUAACUCCGUGCCAGCAGCCGCGGUAAU